rnacentral:rRNA from 1 species
GUGGGGAAUAUUGGACAAUGGGCGAAAGCCUGAUCCAGCCAUGCCGCGUGUGUGAAGAAGGUCUUCGGAUUGUAAAGCACUUUAAGUUGGGAGGAAGGGCAGUAAGUUAAUACCUUGCUGUUUUGACGUUACCGACAGAAUAAGCACCGGCUAACUUCGUGCCAGCAGCCGCGGUAAUACGAAGGGUGCAAGCGUUAAUCGGAAUUACUGGGCGUAAAGCGCGCGUAGGUGGUUUUGUAAGUUGGAGGUGAAAUCCCCGGGCUCAACCUGGGAACUGCUUUCAAAACUGCUGAGCUAGAGUACGGUAGAGGGUGGUGGAAUUUCCUGUGUAGCGGUGAAAUGCGUAGAUAUAGGAAGGAACACCAGUGGCGAAGGCGACCACCUGGACUGAUACUGACACUGAGGUGCGAAAGCGUGGGGAGCAAACAGGAUUAGAAACCCUAGUAGUCC